CCUACGGGAGGCAGCAGUGGGGAAUAUUGCACAAUGGGGGGAACCCUGAUGCAGCGACGCCGCGUGGGUGAAGGAGUAUUUCGGUAUGUAAAGCCCUAUCAGCAGGGAAGAACAAUGACGGUACCUGACUAAGAAGCACCGGCUAAAUCCGUGCCAGCAGCCGCGGUAAUACGUAUGGUGCAAGCGUUAUCCGGAGUUACUGGGUGUAAAGGGAGCGCAGGCGGCGCGUUAGGCCUGGUGUGAAAGUCCGCGGCCCAACCGCGGGACUGCAUUGGGAACUGGCGCGCUGGAGUGCCGGAGGGGUAGGCGGAAUUCCUAGUGUAGCGGUGAAAUGCGUAGAUAUUAGGAGGAACACCAGUGGCGAAGGCGGCCUACUGGACGGUGACUGACGCUGAGGCUCGAAAGCGUGGGGAGCAAACAGGAUUAGAUACCCGUGUAGUC
rnacentral:rRNA from 1 species